CUCGACGCAUACACGCACUUUCAUCGUCACCAUAAACUCGAUCUGAUCCCGGCACGCGCCGCAUGCCACCUUCCUGUGACGUCACCACUUUACUCUGCUUCUUUUUCAUCAUGCAGGAGAGUCGAGGAGUAAAAGUAUAUACAGAAGCUCUCCAACGCCACGCGCCCAGAAAUUUACACGUUCACUUAUGACAUACACAAAAAAAAAUCUGGAAGCCUUGUAUACAAAAUAUUGACCAUAUUGCCAAGAUUUAUAUACAUAAUCGAUUAUUGUUUUCAUGUUAUGCAUCAUCAUUCACUCGGUUUUUUUAGUUUCAUAUCUAAAAAAAAAAUUACGAGAACAAAAAGUGUAUAGUAUACUUCCGGUUAUGAGGUGGUUCAACAGGUCAGACCAACAAGGGGGCCAUAUGGAACCACUUCCGGCGAGCUCUUACCACCGAACGAAUACAUACAAUAUAUGGAUCAUGCAUCAUUCGACAUCAACUCUUGACUUUCAUGCAAUUUUGCAUGCUUUAAUCUUAAUCCUUUGAAGCCUAAGAUCGUAAAAGAAAUGUUACAUGAGGCUACAAAAGGUUAACAAGAAUAAAAAAAUUUUUGCAACGAACAAUAAUUAACCCAUUACCUCCCAAGGGUGCAAAUAAAAACAUAUUAAUUGAUUUUAUUGUUAAUAACAAUUACAAAUACAUUCAAAAAAAGGAAAGUCUGACGUUGAUUUAUAUCCUUGGAAGAUAAAAAAUAAAUAUGUGAGGGGUAAAAUAGGACAGAAUGGAUUUUGACAGUUGACCAAGUGAGACAUGGGAGUUGAUGAACUGUUAAACGUUUUACCCUAUAUCCUAUUUUUCCCUGAGUCUCCCCUACAUAAACAAGU